rnacentral:lncRNA from 1 species
CAAGACUAAAAACCGGACCGUGACCUAAUAAAAAGGGUUAAUCAAACCUUUGCCCCAUACAUAAUUAAUUAUAACUUUCGAUCGAAUCAGGACCAAAACCCAUUUAAUUAUAACCUUAGCUUGAUUACAACUCCAUCAGGUUACCAAAUCGGGUCAACACAAUCUCCUCCUUAUAUGUUUUCAUGAAAGAUUAUAACCAGGAGAGAGACAAGUUUAGAGUCUGUUUUGAGAAAAGAAUUAUUUACCUCUUACCAUAUUUUAAAUUCAUUUCAAUGUUUAUUUAAUUUUAUGGUAAAAUAUAUAUUUAUCAGUUUAAAAACAUUGAUAAGU